rnacentral:tRNA from 1 species
CGCCGCCUGGCCUGGCAGGUGACCGGCUGCGGGCUGGUCUUCGGGACCCUGCUCGGCGUGGUGUUCGCGGCGCUGGCCGGUUCCC